CCUGUCUAAGAAGGGUCUCAGCUUCCUGGAGGGUAGGUAUCCUUGAUCGAUGCCAGAAUUGCACAUGAAAUUCCCUGGUCGAAAGAGAAACAAACGGGUUGGAUGCCGAAAAAGAAGUACUCGAGAACUAAAUGAAUGCAGAGAACUUACUGUAUGUACGGCUGCACUUCGGAUAGGUUGGUCAACACAUAUAUCAUGAUAUUGCGCCACUCUUCAAAAUUUAAGAUCUUGAUGCUCACAACACUUGCACUUUCGAGUUGCCCUUUGAAAAGGCUGAGGUUCGAGUCAGCUUCCUCAGCAUUGUAACGUGAGGGUGGAAUAUGCACGCUUGGAAGAUUCUCAGUAUAAUAUUUCGAUGUGAAGUUUGACACCUCCUCUAGAAUGUAUGCCUCUGCGAUGGAAGCUUCAAUUUUGCAUUUAUUUUUACAUUUAGUUCGAAGGACUUUUUGACAUCUCUCAAUUGAGUAGCACCAACGAUCUUGCACUAGCCCCCCAUUCGUGGCGGUGCUCGGUCCUGAAAAAAAAAGAAUAAUAUGUGUGAAAUUAUAAUCAAUAAUUUGUUACUAUUGGUCAUCUCAAUAAAAAAAGUAUUGAACUA